GAUUUCACUCUUGAUUGUAGGGUUUGUGCCGUUUGCUGCUGUUGUGUGAGACGAUCGGUGCUUCAAUGUGCCCCUACAAAAAGGAACAUAGCAAGGGUUUCAAUCUCUCUCUCUCUGAUGAUGAGGCUGAAUCAAUUGUUGAGGGUUACCAGGAUCAUCUCAUCUCUUCUCUUCGGUUGUAUCUGAAAUCAAAGGUGUUCCAUUCGAAGGAAGAAUAUAGAAAAUUGUUCAAAGGAAGGUGGACAGGUGUCAUAACCAUAGUUCUCAACAAUUCCAAGUUCGUAGUCACCUUCUAGAACCGUCCCGACGAGAUCGAGUUUGGGUUUUCGGAGUUGUAAGUUCACCGGGAGUGGGUCAACGGCAAAUGGGUCUAACCCGAAAAGCAGAUCGAUAUGGUACUUUAACUGGUUCUCGUAAGGGCGAGAAAGUUUCAAGGCAAGAGUAUUUGAAGAAAAUGGAGCAAAAGAAACUGAAGGAGCUUAGAGAUGAUAUAGAAGACGAGCAGUAUCUAUUUGAUGGUGUAAAAUUGACUGAGGCAGAAUAUGGUGAACUAAGUUGCUCUUAAUUGGUUCCCAUCAGAGAGGUGCAGUUGUAGCUGUUGUUUACUCACUGGUUUUGGUGCUUGUAAAGAGGUGCUACUACUGCUGUAUUGUUGCCGCUACUGGUAAACUGCUGAUGUAUGGUUUGGUGCUGCUAAACUGCUUAUUUUUCAAUUGUUCCUUUUCUUCUAGUGUGCUGGGCCCCUCCGUUACAUAAAUGUAAUAUGCAUUGGCAGGCUAUGAACUGGGGCAGUUGUGUGGACUGGUUAUCUGAGCAAUUCUCUGGUCAUUCUCUGACCACUAAUGCUAAGAAAUUAAUGCUUACUUGUACUACUUACUGUAUCUGGCAGGAGAGAAAUGCUAGGAUCUUCUCAUCUGUUUGUACUCCUGCUAAUGUGGUUGUGAGAAAAGUUGAAUCUCUGGUUAGGUGCAGGCUCUUAUCUGUUAACAACUUCAAGGAAGAUGGGGAUAAUGAUUGGUUUAUGGACUCAUGGCAUUCUCCUCAUAUAGUGUUGAGGGCACAUGCUCUUUGAGUUGUUUUUACUCUUACUUCCAGUGUCUAUAUAUAUUGUUGUGUGUUUGGAUCUUCCUCUUGCAGGUCUCCUAGAUCAGUCCUUUGGAGCUGCCUCAUUUUCCCCUUUGUAAUCAGGACUUUGCUGGUACUUACUUAGGGAUGUUGUGGGUUGAGUGAUUGUGAGCCUCCACAGUUAGUAUUGUGAUGGAGAUUAUUGAGAGUGAGUGUUGAGAGCCUAUAUAUGAGUGUUGUGUAAUGUGAGACAUCCAUAAUCCUAUUAUCUUGCUCAUUAUUUUCUUUGCAGGUUGUCAAUGCUGGUCUCUUGUAGGGAGAAGGGUUGAGAUGGUGGGGCUCUAUAGCUAGGUUUUUGUGGGUUGAGUGAUGGUGAGCCAUAUAGUUUAUCUAAUUCUUUUCUGCAGGUUGUCAAGCUGGUCCUAAUUGUAAGGGAGUUUUUUUUUGUUGAGGGUUGAGUGAUUGGUUAGCCCCAAUAAAUUUUUUUGGAGUGCUGUGUGUUGCAUCUUGAGGGUUGAGUGAUUGAGGACUAUUUGUUUCUGUGGGUCUACUCUACCCAGUCUUGCUGUCUAUUUGUAAUGAAUAUUUGUCAGUGUGUCCUUGCUGAGUUGUUACACAUAGGUUAUUGUAUCUGUUCAACCCCCCCAUAGGUCUGUAAUAUGUGGUAGUUCAAGUUUACAUCUGCAUUUGUCUUGGGGUUGGUCUUGGCAGAAGCUUGUUGUGAUAGACUAUGUUGCUAUUGGUUGCUGUUCUGCUGGCUGUGGUAUAUGCUGAAUUGCUGCUGUUGAGUUGAAAUUUGUGUAGUCCAUGUGUAGAUACUGCCCAUGGAUGGGUGUAUAUGGUUCUCUGCUAGUUGUUGAGUCUGUGGCUCCACUUGUGUGGCUUUGCUGGUGCUACUGUCUGUUGUCUGCUGUUUGCUGUCUGCUGUCAUGCUAACUGUGGUCUUAGCUGUGUUUGUGGUUCAUGCUGCCAUGAUGUUGCUACUAUAUUUCCUUCCCUGUAGCAGUGUUGUUUUCUUUAUAGUGCAUGCUCUGGUGCU